CACAAACUGGUUACCACUCCAGUUAAACUUGUCAGCCCUGAACAUACUGGUGACCUCAUAAUGUGUCUAUACUGAACUGUGAAUUCUGAGAAAAUUUACUUUAAAGCAGUUCCCUAACAGGGACUUUUAUUAUGACAGGCUGUGUGAAGUGUAUGUGUCUUCUUCCUCUAUGAAGUAACUGUUUCCUGGUUUUAAAAGUUAUUGUUAUGGGAGGGUUUCUGAAGGACCAGAUAAAAAAAACAGGAGUAAGGAAGGCUGAGUCCACAGACCGCCAAAAUAAAAACCUUUGUCAGUUUCCACUAACAGCUGCAACCACUCUGGACAUUUUUAUUUUAUUUUUCAGACCUCCUCCUCUGUUUGAUAUCCGCAGGUUUUAAUUUCACUUUAAAUCAUCAGAUUUCAUUUGAUAAUGUUUUAUACACUGUAAUAAAUCAUUCUGUGGUCAUGUAGAUUUCAAAUAAUGUAUUAGGUAAAAUCUAUUAAAUAUAAUUGCGUCCUUGAUUUUGUGGCAAUUAUUUAAGUAAAUAUCAAAUAUAAAAUUCAGGUUAGCAUUUCCGCUAUCAUGUUCCCUAUGUUUCCUAAAUGUUGUUGAUAUGUCAUUAGUAUGUUUUUAUGAAAUUGUGUAAGUAUAUUGGGUUUCAUGUUAAGGUUAUACACCUUUCCAUGAAUGGAUAUGUUGGGGGUUCGCCAGUAGUGUAACGAGAAUCUUAUUUUACGAACUGGACAUGCCACACUUCUGUUGGCUUUACUUCCUCUUUGUGUCGGGAAGUGAAACGGGAAGUUACACAUUCUCUGUGCUUUCUACACUUUUGCUGUUUUUGUUGUAAAUAUGUUACUUAAAAACACAUGUAAAGUCAGUGCAUCAACAUUUUUACAUUUUAGUGGAACGUCCGUGGAAGGGGAACUGCUCCCUCCGUAGAUAAAAACGGCUUAUUCUAAGGACUUUGUGUGCUCUUCUCUUGAGAGGACCAGAAAGGAUGUCCUUCGGUGCCUUUUAGAAUACCUUGGAGAACAUGGGGAACAUCUCAAAGAAUUCAAAGACACUGAGAACUUGUAGGAACUUGGAGGAACAGCUCCAUUGCCACUAUGACCAAAACAGCUCAUAGUGGCAAUUACUGUGAUCCAGAGCUAUAAGUGACAGCCCAAGGACAACUUCCCACACAAAAGUUGUGAUCUAUAAAACCAAACCUGACGGAAGAAUGUGCGCACCUGUAAGUAAACUCUGACCCAUGCGAACGCACAUUUUGGAGACAGGGGAAAUUGGCAAAGCAGAUGGUGAGGUCGUGAAUUGAAGCCAGAUGUAUAAUGAUGCCUCUAACAUUUAAUUUCACUUAAUAUCAAACAUUAAUUAUAGAUCCACUUUUUAACAUUCAAACCAGCAGUGUUAUUUAUACUUGCGCUUGCAGUGAGCCAUAACUCUUUCUGCGUAAAUGUAAUGUCAUCACUCCCCAAACUGCUGAACUGAGCUGUUUGUGAGGAGUGAUGAGCAUCAGUUAUUGUUUAUUUGUGUGUGUGUGUGUGUGCGUUUGUUUGUUUGUGUCUGUGUUUGUUUGU